AUGUGGUAAGGGAAAAUAAUGAUACUACCUUACUUAUAGUGUUGUCUAAAGCUGGUGCCAGAAGACUCGGUAAGGCCAGAAACGCAAACGUUAGUCAUCAUAAACAGGCGUAAAGGGUUUGUAGGCUGCUUUUAAUUUUAAAUAAAUUUAAUUUUGCUAAAUUAAAAUUUUAAUUUUGAGAGCUAGAAUCAAAAAGAAGUUAAAAAGUAUAAUACUUAGAGGAGGGAUAAUAUCUAUAGAUCCUAAGGGGAAUACUAAAGGUGUAAACAACUAACUAUAAGUGAUUGACGCUGAGAGACGAAGGUGAGGAUAGGAAAUAGGAUUAGAUACCCUGGUACCCCUCUCUGUAAACGAUGAAUGGUAGUUAUUAGUAUAAAACUGGUGGCGAAGUUAACACGUUAACCAUUCCGCCUUGGGAGUACGAUUGCAAAGUUGAAAACAAAAAAAUUAGUCGCUCUCGGAGCAAACGGAGUGAAG
rnacentral:rRNA from 2 species